GAUGAACGCUGGCGGCGUGCCUAAUACAUGCAAGUCGAACGAACAGACGAGGCGCUUGCUCCUCUGACGUUAGCGGCGGGCGGGUGAAUAACACGUGUAUAACCUACCUAUAAGACUGGGAUAACUUCGGAAAACCGGAGCUAAUCCCGGAUAACAUGUUGCACCGCAUGGGUUAACGGUAAAAUACGGUCUUGCUGUCACUUCUCGCUGGUUCCGCGCCGCAUUAGCUAGUUGUUAAGGUAACGGCUUACUAAGGCAACGAUGCGUAGCCGACCUGAGAGGGUGAUCGGCCACACUGGAAGGGAGACAGGGACCAGAGGCCUAAGGGAGGCAGCAGAAGGCAAUCUUUCGCAAUGGGCGAAAGCAUGACGGAGCAAGGCCGCGUGAGUGAAGAAGGCCUUCGGAUCGUAAAAAUCUGUUACUAGGGAAGAACAAAUGUGUAAGGAACUAUGCACGUAUUGACGGUACCGAAUCAGAAAGCAACGGCUAACUACGUG
rnacentral:rRNA from 1 species